AUUGUUUCUCGGCCUUUUGGCCAAGAUCAAGUGAAGUAUCUGUUCUUAUCCGUUAUUAUCUGAUAUGUCCUCUCUCUGAGGACAAUACAUUCAAUGGAUUUUUGGAGCAGGGAAAUGGAAUAGGAGCUUACUCUGUCCACUCCACACAUCGACCUGGUAUUGCAACACCUCAAGAAAUGGUGCACCCCCU